GACGAACGCUGGCGGCGUGCUUAACACAUGCAAGUCGAACGGAAAGGCCUCUUUCGGGGGGUACUCGAGCGGCGAACGGGUGAGUAACACGUGAGUAACCUGCCCUUGACUUUGGGAUAACUUCAGGAAACUGGGGCUAAUACCGGAUAGGAGCUCCUGCUGCAUGGUGGGGGUUGGAAAGUUUCGGCGGUUGGGGAUGGACUCGCGGCUUAUCAGCUUGUUGGUGGGGUAGUGGCUUACCAAGGCUUUGACGGGUAGCCGGCCUGAGAGGGUGACCGGCCACAUUGGGACUGAGAUACGGCCCAGACUCCUACGGGAGGCAGCAGUGGGGAAUAUUGCACAAUGGGUGGAAGCCUGAUGCAGCAACGCCGUGUGCGGGAUGACGGCCUUCGGGUUGUAAACCGCUUUCGCUCAUGACGAAGCUUUGUGUGACGGUAGUGGGUAAAGAAGCACCGGCUAACUACGUG
rnacentral:rRNA from 1 species